AACAGCAUCUCAAGGCAGAAGAAUUUUUCUUAGUACAGAUCAAAAUGGAGUUUCUUAUGUCUUCCUUUUUCUACAUAGACACAGUAACAGUCUGAUCUCUCUUUCUUUCCCCCACAAUGCUUGUUUGAGGACAUGUAUUAUCACCAGAGAGGACUUGAAACUGCAUAACAAACCGUACUUGCCAGACAUUUCCUAAUCACCUUCUCACUGUUUACUCCCUCCCCCUAUAAUCGAUAAUCGCAAAGCUUCCUUUCCCUUUGACUAUUCUAUUCUCUUCACAAUUUAUCACCCCUUGUUAAAUGGUAUAUAAGCCCCCAGCCCUAAACUCCUACUUGGGUUUUCACUUCUCUUUUGUGAAGCCUCAUUAUGUAUGCAAAAUAAAAUUUUUCUACUGUUAAUCUGUCGUUUAUCAGUUUAAGUGACAGGCUGGGGCUGGGCGCCGUGGCUCACGCCUGUAAUCCCAGCACUUUCGGGAGGCCGAGGUGGCCGGAUCACGAGGUCAGGAGAUCGAGACCAUCCUGGCUAACACAGUGAAACCCCGUCUCUACUAAAAAAUACAAAAAAUUAGACGGGCGUGGGCCGGUCGCGGUGGCUCCCGGCUGUAAUCCUAGCACUUUGGGAGGCCGAGGCGGGCGGAUCACGAGGUCAGGAGAUGGAGACCAUCCUGGCUAACACGGUGAAACCCCGUCUCUACUAAAAAUACAGAAAAUUAGCCGGACGAGGUGGCGGGCCCUGUAGUCCCAGCUACUCGGGAGGCUGAGGCAAGAGAAUGGCGUGAACCCCAGGGGGCGGAGCCUGCAGUGAGCCGAGAUUGCGCCCCACUGCACUCCAGCCUGGGCAACAGCGAGACUACGUCUCAAAAAAAAAAAAAAAAAAAAUUAGCCGGGUGUGGUGGCGGGCGCCUGUAGUCUCAGCUACUCGGCAGGCUGAGGCAGGAGAAUGGCGUGAACCCCGGAGGCAGAGCUUGCAGUGAGCCAAGAUUGUGCCACUGCACUCCAGCCUGGGCGACAGAGCAAGGCUCUGUCUCAAAAAAAAAAAAAAAAGUGACAGGCUCUACACACUGAAUUUAAGAAGGUAGAGGUCGGGUUUUUUCAUCAUCUACAAAGGUACUCUGCUUCUAAAAUGAGUUAGAACAAUGGAUUUGACCACAAUCAGAUGGACAUUAAGGGUAAGAAAGAAAAGUGGCUCAAAGCAGCCUGAGGAAUGUAAAGUAUGCAAAAUUUAUCAGGCUCAGAGAGACUUGAGCAAGAGCCUUCAGUCAUAUCCCUCUCAGCCAUACCCAGGAAUAACUGUUUCAAGGCAUUUUGACAGGGGCGGCGACUCAGCUCUUGCCUGUAAUCCCAGCUACUCAGCAGGCUGAGAUGGGAGGAUCACAUAAGCCCAGGAGUUUGAGACUGCAGCAGGCUAUAAUCAGGCUACUGCAUUUCACCCUGGUGACAGAGUGAGACUCCGUCUCAAAAAAAAACAAUAUAAGGUGAAGGCCAAGCAGGGUGGCACAUACCUGUUGUCUCACCUACUCAAAAGGCUGAGGCCAGAGGAGGAUUGCUGGAAGUGAGUUCAAAGCCAGCCUAGAGAAUAUAUUGAGACUCUGUCUCUAAAUUUUAUAUAUAUAUGGUGAAUUCACCUUUACCAUAUCUUUUAUGUAUAAGCAAUGGGAUUGAUUAGCAAGUAAUGGGACUCUGAAAUCAAAGGGGUAAAUUUGGGUAGAUCUUUAUAAAUAUAAUAACCUUGAACCCCACAAAUCUCUCUAAGCGUCCUUUAAAAAAUAGACUUUCUGUCUGAGUAGGUGAGUCCUUUUUUUUGUUUGAAGAUACUAGAAAGCUCUUACUUGAGACAGCUCCUAAAAGAAUGUCAAUUCAACAGAAGUCUCAUAGCCAGUAUAACUAAUUCUAACCCCCUAACUAGAGUCAGAUACUAGGAUACCCCUAAGGGACAACAAUGAAAUCUGAAUUUGGGUGUCAUUGCUUACAUAUCAAAACAGUUGCAAGAGACAGUUAAUUUAUAUUUGCAGAAACCAUAUGAAUUUGUAUGAAAAUGAUUUUUUAAAGUGCUAUAUCAAGAAAACUAGAACAUAAUGCAGAACAAAUAAAAUUUACUUAUAUGGGUGCCAAGAAUAGAAAUUCUGGGUUCCGCAUACAUCAGCAUCUAGAAGAAUCUGCAGUAGGUAUGGAUGGUUGAUUGAGGCCUUUAUUCAAUGGUAGUCUACAAAGAAUAAGACAGAAGUAAGAACUUUCCUGUUAAAAUGGAAAGAUAGAGUAAA
rnacentral:lncRNA from 1 species